rnacentral:rRNA from 1 species
UUAUGGCUCAGGAUGAACGCUGGCGGCGUGCCUAACACAUGCAAGUCGAACGGUUAAACCGGCUUCGGCCGGAAAUACAGUGGCGAACGGGUGAGUAACACGUGACCAAUCUGCCCCGCGCACCGGGAUAGCCCCCCGAAAGGGGGAUUAAUACCGGAUGCGCCGGGCCGGCCGCAUGGCCGGCCCGGGAAAGCCUCAGCGGCGCGGGAUGGGGUCGCGGCCCAUCAGGUAGUAGGCGGGGUAGAGGCCCCGCCUAGCCUACGACGGGUAGCCGGGUUGAGAGACCGACCGGCCACAUUGGGACUGAGAUACGGCCCAGACUCCUACGGGAGGCAGCAGUGGGGAAUAUUGCGCAAUGGGGGCAACCCUGAACCGCAGCAACGCCGCGUGCGGGACGAAGGCCUUCGGGUUGUAAACCGCUUUCAGCAGGGAAGACAUCGACGGUACCCGCAGAAGAAGCCCCGGCUAACUACGUGCCAGCAGCAGC